rnacentral:rRNA from 1 species
UACGUAGGGGGCUAGCGUUGUCCGGAAUUAUUGGGCGUAAAGCGCGCGCAGGCGGUCCUUUAAGUCUGAUGUGAAAGCCCACGGCUCAACCGUGGAGGGUCAUUGGAAACUGGGGGACUUGAGUACAGAAGAGAAGAGUGGAAUUCCACGUGUAGCGGUGAAAUGCGUAGAGAUGUGGAGGAACACCAGUGGCGAAGGCGACUCUUUGGUCUGUAACUGACGCUGAGGCGCGAAAGAGUGGGGAGCAAACAGG